AGUUUGAUCCUGGCUCAGGACGAACGCUGCGAGCGUGCCUAAUACAUGCAAGUCGAGCGCAGGAAGCUGACGGAACUCUUCGGAGGGAAGGCAGUGGAAUGCGCGGCGGACGGGUGAGUAACACGUAAGGAACCUGCCUCAAGGAUUGGGAUAACUCCGAGAAAUCGGAGCUAAUACCGGAUAGUUCAACGGACCGCAUGGUCCGCUGAUGAAAGGCGCUUCGGCGUCACCUUGAGAUGGCCUUGCGGUGCAUUAGCUAGUUGGUGGGGUAACGGCCCACCAAGGCGACGAUGCAUAGCCGACCUGAGAGGGUGAUCGGCCACACUGGGACUGAGACACGGCCCAGACUCCUACGGGAGGCAGCAGUAGGGAAUCUUCCACAAUGGACGAAAGUCUGAUGGAGCAACGCCGCGUGAGUGAUGAAGGUUUUCGGAUCGUAAAACUCUGUUGUAAGGGAAGAACACGUACGAGAGGAAAUGCUCGUACCUUGACGGUACCUUACGAGAAAGCCACGGCUAACUACGUGCCAGCAGCCGCGGUAAUACGUAGGUGGCAAGCGUUGUCCGGAAUUAUUGGGCGUAAAGCGCGCGCAGGCGGCCUAUUAAGUCUGAUGUGAAAGCCCCCGGCUCAACCGGGGAGGGCCAUUGGAAACUGGAAGGCUUGAGUACAGAAGAGAAGAGUGGAAUUCCACGUGUAGCGGUGAAAUGCGUAGAGAUGUGGAGGAACACCAGUGGCGAAGGCGACUCUUUGGUCUGUAACUGACGCUGAGGCGCGAAAGCGUGGGGAGCAAACAGGAUUAGAUACCCUGGUAGUCCACGCCGUAAACGAUGAGUGCUAGGUGUUGGGGGGUUUCCGCCCCUCAGUGCUGAAGCUAACGCAUUAAGCACUCCGCCUGGGGAGUACGGCCGCAAGGCUGAAACUCAAAGGAAUUGACGGGGACCAGCACAAGCG
rnacentral:rRNA from 1 species